GUGAAGACAGCAGGCAUGGUGGGGCGGGAGAAAGAGCUCUCUAUACACUUUGUUCCCAGGAGCUGCCGGCUGGUGGAGGAGGAAGUUAACAUCCCUAAUAGGAGGGUUCUGGUUACUGGUGCCACUGGGCUUCUUGGCAGAGCUGUACACAAACAAUUUCAGCAGAAUAAUUGGCAUGCUGUUGGCUGUGGUUUUAGAAGAGCAAGACCAAAAUUUGACCAGGUUAAUCUGUGGAUUCUAAUGCAGUUCAUCACAUCAUUCAUGAUUUUCAGCCCCAUGUUAUAGUGCAUUGUGCAGCAGAGAGAAGACCAGAUGUUGUAGAAAAUCAGCCAGAUGCUGCCUCUCAACUUAAUGUGGAUGCUUCUGGGAAUUUAGCAAAGGAAGCAGCUGCUGUUGGGGCAUUUCUCAUCUACAUUAGCUCAGAUUAUGUAUUUGAUGGAACAAAUCCACCUUACAGAGAGGAAGACAUACCAGCUCCCCUAAAUUUGUAUGGCAAAACAAAAUUAGAUGGAGAAAAGGCUGUCCUGGAGAACACUUUAGGAGCUGCUGUUUUGAGGAUUCCUAUUCUGUAUGGGGAAGUUGAAAAGCUCGAAGAAUGUGACUGUUAUGUUUGAUAAAGUGCAGUUCAGCAACAAGUCAGCAAACAUGGAUCACCAGCAGCAGAGGUUCCUCACACAUGUCAAAGAGGUGGCCACUGUGUGCUGGCAGCUAGCAGAGAAGAGAAUGCUGGAUCCAUCAAUUAAGGGAACCUUUCACUGGUCUGGCAAUGAACAGAUGACUAAGUAUGAAAUGGUGUGUGCAAUUGCAGAUGCCUUCAACCUCCCCAGCAGUCACUUAAGACCUAUUACUGACAGCCCUGUCCUAGGAGCACAGCGUCCAAGAAAUGCUCAGCUUGACUGCUCCAAAUUGGAGACCUUGGGCACUGGCCAACGAACACCACUUCGAAUUGGAAUUAAAGAAUCACUUUGGCCUUUCCUCAUUGACAAGAGAUGGAGACAAAUGGUCUUUCAUUAGUUUAUUUGUGUUGAGUUUUUUUUUUUUUUUUAAUGAAAAGUAUAGCAUGUGGCACUUUUUAAAGAACAAAGGAAAUAGUUUUGUAUGAGUACUUUAAUUGUGACUCUUAGGAUCUUUCAGGUCAAUGAUGCUCUUGCACUAGUGAAAUUGUCUAAAGAAACUAAAGGGCAAUGUUGCCCUGUUUGCAGUAAUUUUUCUUUUUAUCAUUUUGUUUGUCCUGGCUAAACUUGGAGUUUGAGUAUAGUAAAUUAGAUCCUUAAAUAUUUGAGAGCCAGGAUGAAGCAGAUCUGCUGUAGACUUUUCAGAUGAAAUGCAUUGUUCAUUCUCAUAACCUCCAUAUUUUCAGGAUUUUUGAAGCUGUUGACCUUUUCAUGUUCAUUAUUUUAAAUUGUGUGAAAUGGUAUAGAAAUCAUUGGUGUUCAUUAUUUGCUUUGCUUGAGCUCAGAUCAAAAUGUCUGAAGAAAGGAACUUUAUUUUUGCAAGUUAUGUACAGUUUUUAUGCUUAAGAUAUUUCAACAUGUUAUGUAUAUUGGAACUUCUACAGCUUGAUGCUUCCUGCUUUUAUAGCAGUUUAUGGGGAGCACUUGAAAGAGCAUGUGUACGUGUAUUUUUUUCCUAGGUAAACAUUGAAUGCAAAUGUGUAUUUUUUUAAUAUAAAUAUAUAACUGUCCUUUUCAUCCCAUGUUGCCGCUAAGUGAUAUUUCGUAUGUGUGGUUAUACUCAUAAAAAUGGGCCUUGUAAGUCUUUUCACCAUUCAUGAAUAAUAAUAAAUAUGUACUGCUGGCAU